rnacentral:rRNA from 1 species
UACGUAGGGAGCGAGCGUUGUCCGGAAUGAUUGGGCGUAAAGGGCGCGUAGGCGGCCUGGUAAGUUAGGAGUGAAAGUCCUGUUUUCAAGAUGGGAAUUGCUUUUAAUACUGUCGGGCUGGGGUACAGGAGAGGAAAGCGGAAUUACCGGUGUAGCGGUGAAAUGCGUAGAGGUCGGUAGGGACACCAGAGGCGAAGGCGGCUUUCUGGACUGAAACUGACGCUGAGGCGCGAAAGCGUGGGGAGCAAAC